CAAAGGACCCACGUUCCAAUACCGUUAUCUUAAUAUACAAAUUUUGGAGGGCCCUAAAUACCCGGUUUAUUGAAUUGUAAGGAAAUAAAGAAAGAAGGAGGGUUAUCAGAAAAGCGCUGAUACAAUACUGGUGAAGAUGACAGUUACCUAGAGUAAGUCCAUGUCCACGUGCCUAAAGUGAAGGCGGUGCAGGGCACAGGACUGGUAGCCUGAACAAGGAAGGGCCGGGCGUGGGGGUGGAAGGCACGGAAAUGCCCAGGUGCAGGCUUGUGCGAAAAGCUGGCGGGAAGGCCACUCACCACAGUAGGGAAAGCUAUGAGAAAGGAGAACCGGAAAGUCAAAAGCAAGGAAUAACAGGGCUGACAACAAUGAAGCACAAAGACUAAGUUGCUGCUGGACUCGCGAUGGCACACAGGCCAGUUCUCACUGCAAAAAGUUCAACGUUCAGGCAGAAAUUAUACUCAUGGUUAUUCUGAUGCUGUUGCCAUCUUAAAGUGGCCUGUUGUGAUCAGGAAGUUCACCUUUGCUGUGAAACCAGACUCUCAUUUGACACUAAGUGUGAACCGCAUAACCUGUGCGUGCAGAUGAGCACACACACAUGAAAACAGCGUAUCAGACUCUGCUGGCCACAGCAUGAUGCACAGUGGCUCAGCCUUUAACAAGUGGAUGUGAGCAAAGGUGACACUGGGCAAAGAUUGGGCACUUUGUGAGGGCAGUGUAAGAGAAAAAUAAAUACUAAGUGUUUCCAAGGUCAAAUAGACGUUCAACCCUCUGUCAUUGCUCUAACCGUUUAC
rnacentral:lncRNA from 1 species